AUGCGAUAAGUGGGGACGGCGCCGCCACGCUCAUCAGUACCAACAGCGCUCGCUUGGAUAUCCUCCGAAACUCAGAGGCUAAUACACGAUCGAUACGGUCUGCCGCGACGAUGUGGUUAUCCUUCUUCCGGUUUGGAACAACAACAAGAAUCACCACUUCUCCGCCUCCUUCGGGUGCAACGAGUCGUCUGUUUCUUCUGUUGUUUCCCUUUCCGGCAUUAAGGUUUCCGCAUGACGCGGCGCUUGUCAGCGAUCCUUCCAAGGCCGCUAGGCACUUUUCUCCAAAAGUCGUSGGUGGUGGACGCGCCCGGUCGCUUCUCGAAGACCARCGUCUUGAACAAGGCAGUGUGUCAAGGCUGACUCAGACCGGUCCCUCCUGAUCUUAKCCAAGAAAGGGACGGUCGCGCUGGCUGAAUCCAAAUGGUACGUGAUCGUUUAUACAGCGGUUACAGGCCUUUCUUUCUGUCUGAUCGCACGGACUUCUGACCUAUCAGCUUUUGAUUGUGGUGUCGUGGACCUCAAUGGCAGUAACGGGUAGCGGAGAAUCAGGGUUUGAUUCCGGAGAGGGAGCCUGAGAAACGGCUACCACUGCCAAGGCGGGCAGCAGGCGCGCAAAUUGCCCAAUGCUAACUCGAUUUUGGNGNGGCAGCGACGAACUGCAGCAAUCCUGUCGGUCUUUUCGACCGGUGGGUUUUGGAAUGGAUGCUAUCCAAACACAGUGAUG
rnacentral:rRNA from 1 species